rnacentral:misc_RNA from 1 species
AAAGUCGUAACAAGGUUUCCGUUGGUGAACCAGCGGAAGGAUCAUUACAGAGUUCAUGCCCUUACGGGUAGAUCUCCCACCCUUGAAGAAUAUACGUCGUUGCUUUGGCGGACGCUUCGGCAGCCGCCAGAGGACCCUAAACUCUUGUUUACAGUGUCGUCUGAGUACUAUACAAUAGUUAAAACUUUCAACAACGGAUCUCUUGGUUCUG